GGCGGCGAGGCGGAGGGGAGGCGUUGUGUCGGGGCGGGCUGAGCCGAGGGUUCGCAGGGCCGGCGGUAGCGGCGGGCUGCCGACCGCCUCGCAGUGCGCAGAUGCUCUAUAUACUUGUGUGUUACAUAUUGUCUUGAGCAGUGCAUAUCAGAUCAUUUAAAUUGGAUGUUGUACGAAGAGUAAUCUGCAAGAUGAGUUCUGACCUUCAGUCUCUUGCUGCCAUGCCCUCUGCUUUCCCUUUUGACUGUUUUAUCUGGCUCAAAAGAAUCUGUCAGUCAUAGUAUCCAAGGACUUACCCUGAAUUGUACCUCUGAAGUAGCUAGAAGGCAAGUAGCAGAUGCAGUUUAUUUUGGAGGAAAAAAAAAAAUAUGUAUGUAUGUCUAUGCAUUUCUUUGCUAUGCUGGAGAGAAUGGUGCAACUACUUUCACUUCUUUCAGAAAGUUGACUUUAAAAGCUCAAAUUAAAUGUAAAAAUAAAUCUGUUCUUUGCUGCUUUGGGAAUAAUGUAGGCCAGGUUAAUGUCUGCCGUUUCACGCUAUGACAAAGCCUUUUCUUUAAAUGGUUACUUCUCAAAACCACAGGAAUAUAUUUAAAAUCUGUUUUGAGCUUCAUUUGAUACCUCUUAUUGUCAGAGCAGGAGUGUGAGUGGAGGUCCUCUCUCAUCCUUUAAGUGCAAAACCAGACAAUGUGUGAUAGAUACAUUGCCCUUCCAUAUAUCAAAAUGGGAUGGGGAGAGAAAAGUUUUGAAACCUUGCAUCUAAUUAGAGAAUGAGUUGUAAACAUUUGAAUAUUCAAUGCAAAUGCCAUGAAACCUCUUUUAUAAAAUGAUUCAUGUAACCUAUCUGGACUAUGUAGCAACUGGAAAAAAAAAUAGGACCCAGGAAAAUGUGACUUAUCAGGUCUUUCCCAACCUUCCUUGAGUGAUUGGCUUAUUUAAAGCAGUAUCUAAAUUAUCUUAAUUAUACAUAAUUACACAUAUACUUUUUUCUAUCAUCCCUUAAGGUUCCUGACUUUUACUGAAACCUUGAGCAAGCAAGCAGCUCUCAUGCAGAGACCAGUGCUUUCUGUGUUGGCCACCACCUUCUAGCUGUUUCCCAUCUGUUGUUUGUAAAGACUUCACCACUUGUGCUGCUGAUGUUGUUAGCUCUUUGCAAAACAAGCUCAAUUUUCUUGUAUCUGCAUACUGCAUCAAAGCAGCAGGAAAACUAUCCACAACUGUGAAUCCUGUGCAGCGCCAAGAUAUAUUUUUUUUAUUGUUAGAGAUCUCAAUUAGUGAACCUUAAUGGAAGUAAACAGUUGUGUUGCAAACUACAGGGCAUGUACACAGCAUACAUUUAGGUAGCCUUAUCUGUGUGGGAGAGCAAAGGAAAGAGACGGGCUGUGUAGAGAAAGGGAACAGGAGGUGUUAGAGGACCUAGUAGAAAGUGCAGAGAUCAAAACUUGCAGUAUUUUUGUCUUGUUCCUUUGCAGAACUUGUUGAACUUCCUCUGGCACUUCUCUGUCCUUGCAAUUCCUUUCUUUAUCAAGGAAAAACUUAGUGAGAAAGCUUAAUAUCUGAAUCCUAACAACUGUCACACAGGAAGAAUCUUUUCCUUUCAGUCUGAGGAGCAGGAGAGUUGUUCUGUGCUGCCAUGGCUCCAAAUGGAGUUUAAAAAGUAUUCCUCCAUUUAAAAGAACAGCCAGCAGACUUGCUUCACUUCAGGCAAAUGACUGUCCUCAACCUUCUGCUCUUUCAAUUAUUGCAUCCUGCUGUGCUUUCUGUAUGUACAAGGUGGGGUGGAAGCAUGUCUGGUACUUGCUCACCCUUGUGAAAAUUGCUGAAUUCCUCUUCUGAAUCAUAGUCUUUCUCUGCAGUGUCAUUUAAAAGUAUUGGGCUAAGUUUUGAUUCUUACUAAGGUCUUAUUAUACAAACUCCUGGUGUGUUUAUGAGACUUGCAGUAGAGAAAACAUAACAAGGAAUAUUCAUAUCUCUCAUAGCAUCUUGGUAAUCUAGAUAUAAAUAGUUUUAGAACUGUUGUUCUACAAGAAAAAGAUAAUUGUUUUUAUUAACCUUUCUCUUUCUUAAUGAUGUCUGGUUUUUAAUACAUUAAAUAUUCUCAAUAUUUAAUUAAGGUUUAGAACAGAUACUUGCAACAUAUUACUUACUAAAUAGUUUUUCUCAGAAGAAAUGCUAUAACUUAAAUAUAUUUUCUAUCAUGUGGGCACAAAGCCAUGAGGAGAGAUAGCGAUGUUUGCAGAAAAUAUCUCCCACAUCUUAACAUAUGUAAAGUUUGUAACUUCUUUCUUUUUCUACUGACAGAAGCCAAGAUGAUACAUCUUUCCACUUACACCUGCAAAAAUGCACAAGAGACUUAUAACUGAGACAUAGCCUGAAGAAAGUUGAUGAGGUUGUUAGUAGUCUCUGUCACAAAUAACAAGUCUAUGGACGGUUCUGGUCUUUUCUUCAGACUUUGAUGAAACCUACGAAGGACAGAAAGUUGAUUUUGCAGAAGGAGCAGCAGCUGUAAGAAGAAAAAGAGAAACAUCAAGCAAAAAAAGCUGGAGGAAGCCAAUGAGAAGAACUACAAUUAGUUAUGACUAAUCUGUUACAUGCUUAAGUUUUCUUGUACCUUUUAACCUUAUUUAUAGAGUCUAUUUAAUUUCUUUUAAAAGUUAAGACUUUUUUUCAUGAAGUACAUGAAGUAUACGAAGCUCAUAUACUUUGGCUGAGAAAUCUAUUAGCAUCUAGAGUAACACGACAGCAACAGCAUUUCAGAUUUUUGAUUAAAUAUAGGUUAGUAAAUCACAAGCAAUAAACCUGAAGUAUCUCACACCCCUUUGCCGUGCCCUCACUUUUCAGUGAUAGUUAAAGAAUGAUAUAAAAAAAUUCCUUUUUGUUUGUCUGUUUGACAUGGUCAAUGCAAAUAAAUCACUUAAGCUUAGGAAAACAGGUAAUUAUCUAGCAGCAGGCUCAUUCAUUUCCAGCCUGUAGGUGGAUGUAGUUUCAAACAGAAAAUGACAUUCUAAAUAUCCACAUGGACCUGUUAAUUGUGGCAGAAACGUGUAGAAUGCCCCAUGUAAAAUGAGCAUGCUACUUUUCCAUAAAAACCUUUAUUUCAGUGUCAAAAAUGCAAUGUGCAUUCAAGUUGAACUACACAUCUUGUUACUUCUCAAGAUGGUUGUGCCUCCUGGUCGACCAGGUCAAGAGUUUCAUAAGACUUUGCAUGCUUUGCAUAAAGUAUACCUCAAGUGGGAAUGACACCACAGGAAUAUUUAUGUUUUCAAGGCAUUCUUUGUAUUUGAAUGACAGUUGAGUGAACCAUCACUUAAAAGAAAGAAGAAAACAAAUGAUUUUUUUUUAAAUUAAUCAAACUGUUAAGUAUGGGAGGAACAUCUAGCAAACUAUAACGAUCGUUGAAGUUGCAACAGUAAGUUGUGGAGGAAAAAAUACUAUUGCUGUCCUAUUUUGGAGAUUACUAUGACAGGUUACUAAAUUCCACUCCACUUAAAAAUUUCUUCCCACAAAUUUAUAAAGUAUUUUCUAAAAAUUGAGCAGAGUUCCAUAAUGGAAUUCUGGCAAAUUGAAACAUGUUGCUGUGACAGUUCCUAAAAUAUUUCUAUUUUAUCUUUGUUUUGUAUUAUAAAUAUGUCAAGGUAAGUCAUUUACAUCUGCAUAAUCAUAAAUCAUAAUCAUAAAUCCACAUAAAUACAGCUUUAGUCUUACAGAUGAGUCUUAAGUAUUACAUAUGGUAUUAGCUUUGUGUUUGGCUACUGCUCUGUAUAACAAGUGACUAAAAAAUAAAUGAUAUUUAACAUUAACAAAACCGUUCUUAAUGGUUUCUCAAAUAGAAGUCAGUGGCAAAGAUAGAGGUCAUUGCCAGAAAAUAUUAAUGGUUCUGGGUUUUAUUCAAUUAGAACAAUACCAUGUGAAAUACCAUGUAAAAUGGGUGCAGGAAAUUGCAUCAACACCUUUCUAAAUAAGAAACAGAUGGGCUCAGAGAUAUACACCAAAAAAUAGCAGAUUUAUCUUACAGAUUUUAUUGAUGAAAUCUUUCAUAAGGAGCUUGUUCAAUAUUUGUUCCAGUAGACCACUGUAAGCGUUAACUGAGUAAGUUUAAAUCAAAAGUAAAACAAAUGUAUGUUUCUGCAUCCAUUUACAACGAGGUGAAGUUAACCCAGAAUUUUUAUGGGGAAAAGAAUUUACCAAACUGAGAGCUGAGUCUUCCCAUUCACAGGCAGAGAAAGAAGGAUAGCUUUUUGACAUCAAGAUAUAGGAAGUAUAUGUUGGAGAAGGAGCUGUGAAAGAUAGGCAUCACUUGUGUGGGGCCAUAAGGUUGGUAAAUUACUGUUAUAGAUAUUUCUUCAAUUAAAAUUUGAAGGUUUGCCCCAGAAUGCAGAUAUCAGCUCUGUCCUAUGUACAUUGAUCCUAGAUUUUAAAGCAAAGUUUUUUUGUUUGCUUGCUUUUUGUAUUGUCUGUUGAUUG